rnacentral:rRNA from 1 species
UACGUAGGUGGCAAGCGUUGUCCGGAAUUAUUGGGCGUAAAGCGCGCGUAGGUGGGAUCAUAAGUCUUAUGUAAAAGUGCGGGGCUCAACCCCGUAAAGCGUGAGAAACUGUGAUUCUUGAGUGCAGGAGAGGAAAGCGGAAUUCCCAGUGUAGCGGUGAAAUGCGUAGAUAUUGGGAGGAACACCAGUGGCGAAGGCGGCUUUCUGGACUGUGUCUGACACUGAGGCGCGAAAGCUAGGGGAGCGAACGGG